AUUUUACUUUUUCAUUUUCUUUCUUCUUCUUCUACAGACCACCACGUUCUCUGAUCUUUCUUUUCUUAUUCUUCUUCUUUCUCAUUUUCUUUUCUUUGUGCAACAACAAAACAUACCCAUUUCUUCCUUCCUUUUCUUCUGCUUCCCCAUCACGUCUCUCCCUCUCGUUUUUCUUCUAAGGUGCAGCAGCACCUUCACCAUGUCCUCCACCUUUUCACCACACCAUCACCGUUUUCUUCUCCUUUGCUGCCUACGCACACCAUGCUUUCUUUUCCUCACCAAGUCUACUCCUUCUUCCUCUUCAAUCAACGAAGCCAGCCCCACUAUCUUGGCUCUUCCUUCUCCUUAUGGCUGAAACACCACACACAAAAGCUCCAACCAUGGCCACUCCAAACAGCCAUGAACACGCAAGCACCACAACCAUCGCUGGUCACCACCGCCACGCCUCCUUUCAUGAGCGAACCACCACCUCUACUCUCCCACAUGGGUACGAAGGACGGAAGCGCUUGACGACGAAGCCAAAGAACAAACGGAAGUGAGCCAACACGGGAAAGCAAAGAUAUGACUGGAUUUGAUUUGAGUCGCAACUUAGUAAGGAAAGCGCCUAAGAUGUCGAUGGCCGACUGGUGUUCGAUGGUCUCUCCCUCGGGGGGGAUCAGAUAUGAGCUUGUGGAUCGGGAUGCCCCCACCGCUUGGGUGAUCGAUGUUGUGGGUCAUCGAGCGACGUACCGGGGAAGGGUCAUGGAGGACCGGACUGACGAGUGUGAACAUCUGACGAAAGAAGUUCUACGACGCAUGGAGCUGAGCUUCAACUUGCCGUCUUCAGUUCGCCGAGGACUCGGAUGUGUGAGCAGUUAUGGGUUGGUAGAGUUAGGCAGGCGUCAUAUUUGUGUAGAGCUCUGAUUCGUUUUGCUUUUGGGACGGGGUAGGUUCCCGACGCAUGGCUUUUGUGUGGUUCUCUUAUUGAGGGAUCACAGUGAGUCAGUCGG